rnacentral:rRNA from 1 species
AUUGAACGCUGGCGGCAGGCCUAACACAUGCAAGUCGAGCGGAUGAAGGGAGCUUGCUCCUGGAUUCAGCGGCGGACGGGUGAGUAAUGCCUAGGAAUCUGCCUGGUAGUGGGGGAUAACGUCAGGAAACGGGCGCUAAUACCGCAUAAGUCCUGAGGGAGAAAGUGGGGGAUCUUCGGACCUCACGCUAUCAGAUGAGCCUAGGUCGGAUUAGCUAGUUGGUGGGGUAAAGGACUACCAAGGCGACGAUCCGUAACUGGUCUGAGAGGAGGAUCAGUCACACUGGAACUGAGACACGGUCCAGACUCCUACGGGAGGCAGCAGUGGGGAAUAUUCGGCCAUGGGCGAAAGCCUGAUCCAGCCAUGCCGCGUGUGUGAAGAAGGUCUUCGGAUUGUAAAGCACUUUAAGUUGGGAGGAAGGGCAGUAAGUUAAUACCUUGCUGUUUUGACGUUACCAACAGAAUAAGCACCGGCUAACUUCGUG